GAUGAACGCUGGCGGCGUGCCUAAUACAUGCAAGUCGAGCGAAUGGAUUAAGAGCUUGCUCUUAUGAAGUUAGCGGCGGACGGGUGAGUAACACGUGGGUAACCUGCCCAUAAGACUGGGAUAACUCCGGGAAACCGGGGCUAAUACCGGAUAACAUUUUGAACCGCAUGGUUCGAAAUUGAAAGGCGGCUUCGGCUGUCACUUAUGGAUGGACCCGCGUCGCAUUAGCUAGUUGGGGAGGUAACGGCUCACCAAGGCAACGAUGCGUAGUCGACCUGAGAGGGUGAUCGGCCACACUGGGACUGAGACACGGCCCAGACUCCUACGGGAGGUAGCAGUAGGGAAUCUUCCGCAAUGGACGAAAGUCUGACGGAGCAACGCCGCGUGAGUGAUGAAGGCUUUCGGGUCGUAAAACUCUGUUGUUAGGGAAGAACAAGUGCUAGUUGAAUAAGCUGGCACCUUGACGGUACCUAACCAGAAAGCCACGGCUAACUACGUGCCAGCAGCCGCAGUAA
rnacentral:rRNA from 1 species